rnacentral:lncRNA from 1 species
AUUAAUAUUCAAAUAUCCGUGAUUUUUAAGGCUGAACUACUGAACCUCCUAUUGAAAACAAGUGUUAUAAUGCCGGACUUAAGCUAAUGCCCAUAUCCUAAUUAACAAUUCAAUUUCUGACCAUCACUACAAAUUAAAGUAAUAAAUCUCGACUUUAUAUCAUGCUUCGAGCUAUUCUAAUUUCAAAAUUAAACUAUACAGAUAAACCAUUCUACAUCAAGGUUAAUGACUAUCACCAAUCUGUAGGCUAAACAGUUCAACAUCUAUUUCCAGUUUAACGUGAAUUCAAGGUUAAGAUGAGCUAAAUCAAAUUUAAAAAGAAAACUACUAAUUACAGAAUUCACCAUCUAAACAGUUCCCAAUUAGUAUGGUUCAGAACAGUCCUAUUACAAAAUGACACAAAACUUCAAGUAACAAGCUGUUUUAUAUGUUAAAACCAGGCAGAAACAAAACAAAUUUGGGACUCGACUUUAGACAGCAGUUCAAACAGUACUCCAUCAUGUAUUCCUCAAAUCAAAACUACAUCAAGCCUUCAUAGUUCAUAGGAGAUCAAAGAGUACCUGAUAUUUGAACAAAAACUAAGAAGAAGUAGAGGUCGGCAACAGUGACAAAUGCAUCAACAGAUCGGCAGUCAAAUUCCAGAUAAACUGAUUAAUUUCCAACUCAAACAAUCACAGCCACCCAGUGAUGAACAGAAGAAGAAUAAAACUAGUGAAAACAACUAAAAUCCAACUUCAUACAACCCAAAACCACUCGAAAAUCACCCAGGGACUACUGAAGCUUCAGAACCCAAUUAUGGAACUAAAAAACUAGAAUUAAUAACUAAAAAAUGAAAUUAGCUUGAAUUCUCUAAUAAAACAGUUCUAUUUUUGUGUUUUUGAAGGGUUUUCUAUUGCUUUUUUUGUUGUUUUUUUAUUUUUGAAGAACUAAAUCUAGAGUUGGAAUUUGAAUAUCAUAUCUGCAACUCAGAUCUGCAGCAAAGAGUUUUUUUAGAGGGGGAGGGGGGAAUUUUGAUGGCCAAACUUCCUCCUUAAGGCACUACCCAUGCCCUUUUAUAGGCAAAAUAAGCUGCAAAUUUCAGACUUCAAUUACAAUACUUUGGUCCUUCUGUUAUUUUACUUUUUAAUCGAUUAACCCCUCAUUUCCUAACUUGUUAUUCAAGUUACUGCUUUUAAAAAGCUGAAACUUACACCAAGACCCCAUUCUAGAAGGCCCUAUGGUGUUCUUCUACCUAUAGAAUACAUAUACUACAUUUAUUUGGUUUUGAAAUUAAUAUUCUUAACAAAACAUCCCUUUUCCAUGCCUAAACUACCCCUGAAAACCCCCUGAAAUUACCGACCCUAAUUAAAAUUCUAACGUUAUAACCAAUCACCUAAACUAAGAUUAAUUAAUAGAGAUUGAACCUCAAACUAAUGAACACUGAAUUGAAGAACACUUGAAACUUGAUUAAACUAUCAAGACAUUAAUCUAAUCAAUUUUAACACAGGUUUGGAACAGAAUUAAACUGAAAAUCUAAAGGGACAAAAAUCAGAUUACAAAAGGAAAUUAGACUAAACCAAUCAGUUUGAACUAAUUAAAACUAUUACUUAACAAUUUAACUAAUUAGCCGAACAUUUAAACUAAGUAAAAUGAAAAUCGACUCAGUGUUAUCUAAGAUGGAAACUAACCUAAGGAUUGACCUACACAUUUAUCACUAACAAUAACAAAUAGAAAUAGAAACAUAUUGAUGCCAAGCUAAAUUGUUAAUCAGAACUACACGGCAAUUGAACUUCAUUUAAUUAAACAAGUAAUAACAUGCACCAAACUAAUAAGAAACGAAACUAAAAAAAUGAAAAAGAAGAAUAAAACUUACUGUCACAAUCUUCAUUUAUCCAAUUUCAUCAAAGUUGGGUUUUUAAUUAAUGUUAUAUGUUUAUAAAACAUAUAUCAUCAAUUAAAAAAUCACUUGACUCCUUGAAAUCCCAAAAUAGUUUUGACCCCCAAAACCCUAGAUCCGACAGUUGAGCCCUUCUACUCGGAUUUGAGGGAUUAUGGGAAGGUAUUAGUGAUGAGGGAAGGACGAUGAUCAUCUGGUAUCAAUUUGGUGGGAAAAAGGGGCGGGGCGGCCAUUGAGAUUCGAGGGCGGCAGCUAAGGUUCAUCAAUUUCGAGUCAAGAUUCGAAACCUUUGAGGUUGAUUCGAAGGAAAAGAAGUGUAGAUUUGGAAUGAGAAGAUAGAGACGGUGUUGGGGUGUAAUUUUGGUGGUCGUUGGUGUAACUAAUGGCCUCGCUGCCGGCUCGCUCUGAUCAAAGAAAAUGGGGGCGGCUGAUUAAUUAGGGUUCAGGUUAGAGACGACUGGGGAGGGGUCUGAGAGGGCGGGGGGAUUGGAUUUC